AAAAACGGUAAUACUUCAGUUACGUUGAGGUUCUUCGGUUUUACCGGCGUUUUUA
rnacentral:tRNA from 1 species